rnacentral:misc_RNA from 1 species
UUGCACUAGGGAUUGAAAAGGAAAGCCCACAGCCCGACGAAGGAGGUGCGAGGACUUGUAUUGGAAAGCCCGACCCUUG